UACGUAGGUGGCAAGCGUUGUCCGGAUUUACUGGGCGUAAAGAGCGCGCAGGCGGUCGGAUAAGUCGAAUGUGAAAGCCCCCGGCUCAACUGGGGAGGGUCAUUCGAUACUGUUCGACUCGAAGGCAGGAGAGGGAAGUGGAAUUCCCGGUGUAGUGGUGAAAUGCGUAGAUAUCGGGAGGAACAUCAGUGGCGAAGGCGACCACCUGGCCCAACACUGACGCUGAGGUGCGAAAGCGUGGGUAGCAAACAGG
rnacentral:rRNA from 1 species